UAAUUUUCGCCCUCAAUCUCUCCUCAGAUUUUCCCACAACACACGAUUCCAUCUCCAAAUUUUCUCCCCCAUUAUUCUCAACAGAUUCAUUAUUCCAAUUUUGAAUUUCAAACUAAUUCUCUCCCCAUUCAAUCAAUUUCAGAGUUUGAAAUAGGUAAUCUCUUCAUCUUCAACUUCUUUUUUAUCAUUUUUUAAAUAUUUUCUUAUACUUUAUGGAUCAUCCGUCUUUUAGUAUUAGGAUUAUCCAAAUAGUCACAACGAACACUAAUCGAAUCUUUGAUUAUGAAGAUCCUAUAACAAUGACUAAGCAAAGUUCUAAGAAGUCAAAAGCUAAAAAGGAGGCACAUGCAAAAACACCCAAGAAAAGUGGUAGAAGGGUUGCCCCGGCCAUAUCCAGAUUUGCAAUACCAACAGUAUGCAUUUUUUUUCCUGUAAUUUUAUGCAUUCACAUCUUACUAUUGGAUCCACAACAUUCAUUUGAGGUGGAAUUUGUUCAAGAUAUUAUGCAACAAGAAAGCGACAGUCUGUAACUAUUGAAUCAUUUUUUCUUUACUUACACAUUUGAUCUUUUUUUAUAAUGUAUCUUCUUCUCUUUUAUAGUGAUUGCAGAAUGUUUUUUGUUGUUUUUGUUGAAUUUCUGAGCAGUCAAAUCAACACCCAUCUAAUGAUUUUCAAAGUGACUAUCUUCACACAAGAUAUGCAACAUUGUUAUGAAAGUAUGGUCUCAACAAGGCCAAGACGAAAUAUGUUAGCAAGAAUGAUGAUCUACAAG
rnacentral:lncRNA from 1 species